GGCUUGAUUCUAACACUAAUUAAAAUGUGAUCCAGUUCACGGGCCUGAUUCUAACACUAACUAGCAUGUGAUUGAGUUCACGGGCCUGAUUCUAACACUAAUUAAAUGUGAUUGAGUUCACGGGCCUAAUUAUAACACUAAGUAAAAUGUGAUUGAGUUCACGGGCCUGAUUCUAACACUAAUUAGGAUAUGCUCCAGUUCAGGGGGCUGACUCUAACACUAAUUAGGAUGUGAUUAAGAUCACAGGCCUCUAAUUAGAAUUAUAGCAUUAUUAUUUAUUUCCACAAAUCACAUUUUCAUACAACUCUUUAUAGUGAAAUGUUACACACAUCUAUUUUGAUUUAAAUCGUAUCAUUGAUUAUUCAUCUAUAACUUAGACUUUUGAAAUAGUUUAUUAUACCCCCCGCAACAAGUUGUGGGGGGGGGUAUACUGGAAUCGGGUUGUCCGUCUGUCUGUCCGUCCGUCCGUCUGUCCGUCCGUCUGUAGACGCAAUGGUUUCCGGGCUCUAAAGCAUUAUCCUUUCCACCUACCGUUACCAUAUCAUAUAUAUGAACUACCCAUGGGAUGAAGAUGUUCCCUAUCGAUUUUGGGGUCAAAAGGUCAAAGGUCACGCGCACUGGACAUCAAAGUAGCAAUAUGGUUUCCAUUUAAAUUCUUUAACGGCUUUUUUCAUCGCAUGGAGAUGCUGUGUUCCUAGAUACCUUUUGGAUCAUAAUAUUGAAGUUUUACCUAUAUAUUUCCAACACCCUUUAGGAGAUUGGGAUUGGCAGUUUACUCCAUGCACCGACAGGAAUGAUAAACUGUGAUAUUCGUAAAUGGAACUGGGACACGUUCUAAAUAUACUCAGGGACAGAAUGAUGUGCAGCAAGGCUCGUCAUGGAUUUUACCAAAUACAGAACACUGCAAGGCUUGCAAAAUGAAGACCUCAGUAAAAAAAAUUCUAAAUUAUCCACUAAUGGCAGCUCACUACCUGCCCCUAGUGAUGUUAAAAGAGGCCGUUGUUCUCAUUUGUUCCAAAACAGGAAUGGCAUAUGAGGAGGCCAACAGAAGAUGCACCUCCACUGACCUCCACUGAGUGUGCACUCACAAAACGAAUAAAUUAUUAUUAUUUCUUUUGUUUGUAAUUGUAUAUUGUCAACAAGGUCAAAGGCACUUGAUCCGAUGCCAAACUUUUGCAUUUCUUUUGCUUUGUGGUAAAUUUUCUUCAGCAACAUUAACAUUGUUUAAAUUGUUUUCUUUGGAGAGUAUACAUGUACACAUGGAUCAUUUGUAUAUUAGAAUUAUAGCAUUGUUUAAUUCAACUCAUUCUUAUCCUAGAGAGGUUAUUAUAUACUGCAGGCAACGACUUGUAAAGGGUAUACUGUUUUAACUCACGUGCAAGGCAAGGCAGUAUUAUGAAACUCUGUAGUUGAUAAGGACAUAUAUCACAUAUCGAUAUGCAUAUUUACAGGAAACUCUGAUGUAUUUUAAAUCUGAACGUUAAUUUAAAAGUGGGGAGAAAUAGCAUUGGAUGAAAAAAGACACAUAUGAAGAAAAUUAUUCCAUACGUAAAUACUUUUUAGCUCACCUGAGCUGAAAGCUCAAGUGAGCUUUUCUGAUCGCCUGUUGUUCAUUGUCUGUCCGUGAUUAAACAUUUUAUAUUUUCUCCAGAAGCAAUGGGCCAAUAAUAACCAAACUUAGCCAAAAGUAUCCUUGGGUAAAGGGCUUUCGAGUUUGUUCAAAUGAAGGGCCAUGCCCUCUUCAAAGGGGAGAUGACCACAAAAAUAGGGUGGGUCAUUUAAUUUUUUUUAUCAAGAACCACUGGGCCAGAAGAGCUAAAAUGUACAUGAAAGCUUCUUGACAUAGUACAGAUUCA